rnacentral:rRNA from 1 species
UACGGAGGGUGCAAGCAUUAAUCGGAUUUAUUGGGCGUAAAGGGCGCGUAGGCGGGAGAAUAAGUCAGAUGUGAAAUCCUGGAGCUCAACUCCAGAACAGCAUUUGAAACUAUUUUUCUUGAGGGUAGGCGGAGAAAAUGGAAUUCCACAAGUAGCGGUGAAAUGCGUAGAUAUGUGGAAGAACACCAGUGGCGAAGGCGGUUUUCUAGCUUACUCCUGACGCUGAGGCGCGAAAGUAAGGGGAUCAAACAGG